CCUACGGGAGGCAGCAGUGGGGAAUAUUGCACAAUGGGGGAAACCCUGAUGCAGCGACGCCGCGUGAGUGCAGAAGGAUCUCGGUACGUAAAGCUCUAUCAGCAGGGAAGAAAAUGACUGUACCUGACUAAGAAGCCCCGGCUAACUACGUGCAAGCAGCCGCGGUAAUACGUAGGGGGCAACCGUUAUCCGGCUUUACUGGGUGUAACGGGAGCGUAGACGGCAGCACAAGUCUGGAGUGAAAUCCCGGGGCUUAACCCCGGAACUGCAUUGGAAACUGUGCGGCUGGAGUGCAGGAGGGGUAAGCGGAAUUCCUAGUGUAGCGGUGAAAUGCGUAGAUAUUAGGAGGAACACCGGUGGCGAAGGCGGCUUACUGGACUGUAACUGACGUUGAGGCUCGAAAGCGUGGGGAGCAAACAGGAUUAGAUACCCCUGUAGUC
rnacentral:rRNA from 1 species